GCUCCCAUCGUCUAGUGGCCCAGGACGUCGCCCUCUCACGGCGAAAACAGGGGUUCGAGUCCCCUUGGGAGCGCCA
rnacentral:tRNA from 3 species